rnacentral:rRNA from 1 species
GUAGGGAAUAUUGGGCAAUGGAUGCAAGUCUGACCCAGCCAUCCCGCGUGCCGGAAGAAGGCCCUCAGGGUUGUAAACGGCUUUUGACGGUGAAGAAUCGACAGGAUGCGUCCUGUUUUGACGGUAGCCGUUGAAUAAGCACCGGCUAACUCCGUGCCAGCAGCCGCGGUAAUACGGAGGGUGCGAGCGUUGUCCGGAUUUAUUGGGUUUAAAGGGUGCGUAGGCUGGAAGGUCAGUCAGCGGUGAAAAGCUGUCGCUUAACGAUAGUCUUGCCGCAGAUACUUCCUUUCUUGGAGGAGGAGGAGGCCACUGGAACGGAUGGUGUAGCGGUGAAAUGCAUAGAUAUCAUCCAGAACACCGAUUGCGAAGGCAGGUGGCUGUACCUUAAUCGACGCUGAUGCACGAAAGCAUGGGGAGCAAACAGGAUUAGAUACCCCUGUAGUCC